CCACUCGUAGAGUUUUCCAGCCCUGCUGCAGCUGUUUCUUCUUCUCUGGCAGAGAUACGAGGCUGUGCCGCCGUACCUCUGCGCUGUAUUUCACUUCUGAGGCUCGCAGAAGAGCCGUAUUUCACGUGUGAUUUAGAUCUUCUGCAGAUGUUCUCAGAAAUCAUGUGCUCCUUUCUUCUUGAAGUAUGAGACCGUUAGCAUGCCUCUGCAUAAUUAUUAAGAGUAUCCUACACGUAAGGAACCAGCCUUGUGACCUUACUGAGGUCACAAACCAGGUUCCUCCUCAACCUACAUGAGAGAGAUCAGAAAAGACAGAUGAGAUCUUCAUGCCAGGUCCACACCAAAGCCACUACAGCUCCUGUCUUUAUCAACAUGUCUCAGGACCACACAACAAACUUUCUACAAAGUUUAUAAUCAGUGUUACCAAAAGCUGCACAUGAAAAAUGAACCAAGUAUGCUUGGUCUUUACCUGUGGUGAGGAUAUCAGGUGAUGCAGUGAAAGCUCUUUUAUUUUUCAAUCCCAAACUUGGGGGCAGAUGAAUCUGAAUUGACAUUAUUUGCUGAUCUGGGGUAUUACACGCACCCUUAAUGCAAAAUCGAUCAGCUUUUUCCACACGCACACAAAGUGGUGAUAGUUAACAAUUUUGGCCACAUAAAUCUGUACCAAAUACUGUUAAUUUUCAAGUUCCACGAGAAAUAAAAUCUUACUAAUAGUCAAAGCAAUUUCUCAUAUAAAUGAAAUCAGAUAAGACUCAGUCUUUUGUUCCAAAACAUUUUACUACAAACUCUGUGUAACUGAUUAUACCCAACGUUACUGGACGUGUAAUCAGUGAUGAAUACGAUACUGUAGUAUAUUAACUCUCUGAGAAAGAUCUUAUUGUUCCAAAUCUCUUUCUGAAUUAAAAUAUUAGUCUAUUGUAUGAAUCAUUUCACAGCUGGCUCUGAUUUGCCUUGGUUUCUAUGCAGCAAUUAAUUCUGCUCAGAAUUAAGAGAACAGAAAGAUACAGUUAUUUCUGGAGUCUCUGGUUACAGUGUUAUUUGAGAUCAAGAGAGAUUCAAAUACAUCUUUUUUUAGCAGUGAACCCUAGAAUCCUUCAAGGCCAGGUGACUUAACAAAAUAAAAACAGGGUUUUUGUUUGUUUGUUCCAAUCAAAGCAGAAUGUAUUGGUUACAGUGACCACAAUGACCAAAGGGAUGUCCCAUACCGUGUGGUGUCAUGUUCAGCAAUAAAAGCUGGGGUAAAGAAGAAGGAAGGGGGGGGACAUGGGGAGUGAUGGCGUUUGUCUCCCCAAGAAACCAUUGCAUGUGCUGAGCCCUGGUCUCCUGGACGUGGCUGAACACCCGCCUGCCGAUGGGAAGCAGCGAAUGGAUUCCUGCCUUGGCUUUGCUUCCGUGUGAAGCUUUUGCUUCGCCUAGUGAACUGGUCUUGUCUCAUCCCACGAGUUCUCGCGCUUUUACCUUCCCCACUCUCUCCCAUAUCCCACCAGGGAAGUGAGUGAGCAGCUGGGUGGCACUGGGCUGCCUGCGGGGUUAAACCACAACAACACAACACAGACCUUCCCAUGCUAACAGAUCAUAUAUCUGAGUCCUCAUCCUGAAAAAUCAAUGGGCACAUCUUGAACACUGACUUCAUUUACUGGCUGUGUUUUUUUCCUUCUGCCCCGAUGUCAGAACUGUGGGAUUGUGUGGCUUUUAUAACUGUAUAGCAGGCAGUCCUAUGUAGUGUUUUAUACCCGUGUAUGUUAAGAAAUACAUGGCAUUAAAUUAACAUAAACCUUGUACUAUUUUUGAUGGGACAUAUAAGAAAAAUAGGAAAUUUUGAAGUUUUUUAGAGAUAUUUUUGUCAUGUGGCCUCCGCCCUAGGUUUGCAUGUACUUCAUGCAUGUUGGAUCAAAAUCUUUAAAUAGGAGUGUUUGCUAAGCUGUGCGUGUGUUUUACAGAUCCCUGCAGACUGGUCAUAGAGGGUUAAAACCCAAAUCAGCUGGCACUGUUCUUCAGGGCCCUUUAGACUUCUGAAUACUGCACAUGAAGAGACAGAGAGCAACCUGUGGGAACAGCAGUAGUUAGCACUACUCAAACACCAUUUAGAAGAGGGCUAAGAUUUUUUUAUUCUUUCCCUGUCGUUAAAGUCCAAGCCAGGUUUACCCAUCUGGAAAUGAAUUUGAGGAGGUAUACCUGUUACUAAGUGACUUUGAGGGGGUAUACCUAGAACCAAGUGGCUUGUGGUUGUAAUGCUGUCCUCCAAAAGGUAGCGUCUCGUGUUGCUGGAUGAGGGCACACUGAUUGCCUUUUUGGACCUACUGCUGCCUGACAAGCUGCAUGUGCCAUUUGGUCUUCUGAGGCCUGGGGGUAACGCAGCUCCUGCGAGAGGCGGCAGGUGAAUGCAAGGAACUGUGCUCCUGCCAGCGUGCCAAGCAGCAGGCACACCCCUCCCGACACGAAUGUGCGUGUACGAUAUCGGGGCUUCCAGACACGGAGAGGUGUGUGCGGUCCAGCUGGCAAUCGGCUCCUCAGGAGAUGCCCACUCUCUCUCAGCUGUUGGAGAAAGGAUUUGUUCUUUUCAAAGGCUCAGUGCGUCUAUCAGUGCGUGUUCUGCUACCGCAUGAAGUGUUCUGUACUGUAAGGAUCGUUUUCCUCUUUCCCAGUUCUGGGCACAGCCAGCAGCACAGGGAGCUGGAGUGUGGGAGCACAGGCAUAGGAAAGAACGGCAAUUUCCAAAUCAGCAGCCUCCACGUAAGCAGCAGAACUCAUGGCCAAAAAGGGAUGCCUUUUAUCUCUGUGAUGCGGAAUGAUGUGGCAGUGCUAGGUACUGCAGGUUUGGCAUAUAUGAAAACUGCU